AAUCUUGCGCAAUGGGCGAAAGCCUGACGCAGCGACGCCGCGUGGGUGAUGAAGGUCNNNGGAUCNUAAAGCCCUUUCGUCCGNGAANAACGGCCCUUUGGUGAACAGCCAACGGGAGUGACGGUACCGGAAGAAGAAGCACCGGCUAACUCUGUGCCAGCAGCCGCGGUAAUACAGAGGGUGCAAGCGUUGUUCGGAAUUACUGGGCGUAAAGCGCGCGUAGGCGGGAUGGCAAGUCGGGUGUGAAAGCCCUCGGCUCAACCGAGGAAGUGCACUCGAAACUGCCAUUCUUGAGUGUCGGAGAGGGUGGCGGAAUUCCCGGUGUAGAGGUGAAAUUCGUAGAUAUCGGGAGGAACACCAGUGGCGAAGGCGGCCACCUGGCCGAGCACUGACGCUCAGGCGCGAAAGCGUGGGGAGCAAACAGG
rnacentral:rRNA from 1 species